GACGAACGCUGGCGGCGUGCUUAACACAUGCAAGUCGAGCGGUAAGGCCCUUUCGGGGGUACGACGAGCGGCGAACGGGUGAGUAACACGUGGGUGACCUGCCCUCCAGCUCUGGGAUAAGCCUGGGAAACCGGGUCUAAUACCGGAUAUGACUCCAUGACGCAUGUUGUGGGGUGGAAAGCCUUGUGCGGCUGAGGAUGGGCCCGCGGCCUAUCAGCUUGUUGGUGGGGUGAUGGCCUACCAAGGCGACGACGGGUAGCCGGCCUGAGAGGGCGACCGGCCACACUGGGACUGAGACACGGCCCAGACUCCUACGGGAGGCAGCAGUGGGGAAUCUUGCGCAAUGGGCGAAAGCCUGACGCAGCGACGCCGCGUGAGGGAUGACGGCC
rnacentral:rRNA from 1 species